UAAUCUCUUGGCCUCAAAACCCAAUAUAUUA
rnacentral:piRNA from 1 species